rnacentral:rRNA from 1 species
AUGAACGCUGGCGGUCUGCUUCACCCCUGCCAGUCGAACGGACUCUUCGGAGUUAGUGGCGGACGGGUGAGUCACGCGUGAGAAUCUGGCUUUGGGUUCGGGACAACCACUGGAAACGGUGGCUAAUACCGGAUGUGCCGAGAGGUAAAAGAGAAAUUGCCUGAAGAUGAGCUCGCGUCUGAUUAGCUAGUUGGUGAGGUAAAGGCUCACCGAGGCAGCGAUCAGUAGCUGGUCUGAGAGGAUGACCAGCCACACUGGGACUGAGACACGGCCCAGACUCCUACGGGAGGCAGCAGUGGGGAAUUUUCCGCAAUGGGCGAAAGCCUGACGGAGCAAUACCGCGUGAGGGAAGAAGGCUCUUGGGUUGUAAACCUCUUUUCUUAGGGAAGAACAAAAUGACGGUACCUAAGGAAUCAGCAUCGGCUAACUCCGUG